rnacentral:rRNA from 1 species
ACGAAGUCUUCGGACUGAGUGGCGGACGGGUGAGUAACACGUGAGAACCUGCCUUAAGGUCGGGGAUAACAGUUGGAAACGACUGCUAAUACCGGAUGUGCCUACGGGUGAAAGAUUUAUUGCCUAAAGAUGGGCUCGCGUCUGAUUAGCUAGUUGGAGUGGUAAUGGCACACCAAGGCGACGAUCAGUAGCUGGUCUGAGAGGAUGAUCAGCCACACUGGGACUGAGACACGGCCCAGACUCCUACGGGAGGCAGCAGUGGGGAAUUUUCCGCAAUGGGCGAAAGCCUGACGGAGCAAGACCGCGUGAGGGAGGAAGGCUCUUGGGUUGUAAACCUCUUUUGUCAGGGAAGAACACAAUGACGGUACCUGACGAAUCAGCAUCGGCUAACUCCGUGCCAGCAGCCGCGGUAAUACGGAGGAUGCAAGCGUUAUCCGGAAUUAUUGGGCGUAAAGCGUCCGCAGGUGGUUGUACAAGUCUGCUGUCAAAGCGCGGAGCUUAACUCCGUAAAGGCGGUGGAAACUGUGCGACUAGAGUUCGGUAGGGGUCGCGGGAAUUCCCAGUGUAGCGGUGAAAUGCGUAGAUAUUGGGAAGAACACCGGUGGCGAAAGCGCGCGACUGGACCGAGACUGACACUCAUGGACGAAAGCUAGGGGAGCGAAAGGGAUUAGGUACCCCUGUAGUC